AUGUAUGUAUGUAGUAUAUAAACACCCUGAAGGAAAGAUUGGUCCAAUUGCUCGAAAAAUAUAGUCGUAGGUAUAAUAGCUUUGUAUCUAGACUAAAGAU